GGCUAUUUGGAUUGAUUUAGGGAAGAUAAACUAGGAGUUGUUUACGAUACAGAUUCACCAUGGAAAUAGGCCUCCUAGGGCAUUCCAAUUCACUCUAAGAUAUAGAAAACACCAUUCAACCUUACCAAGAUUGAAUUAGCAAAGGAAAGAACACGAAUUCACUCAAAAUAGAGAGAAAAACAAAUUCUAGAAAAGUUUGUGUUUUGUUUUCAAAGCUUUGCCCCAAACGGACGACUUGGAACUCCUUUUAUAGCCAAAGAUUAUCCUGUAAAUCUACUUGGAGCUCCUUGACUUCCUACUACUAUUUUACUACGCCUCUUCAUCCAUCAAAUUCCUAACAAAGCUUCCAUAACAAGACCCUUUUUAAUUUUCAAAUUUCACUUCAAUUUUACAAACUCCAUCACAAUUUUUCUUCAAUUUCGCCCCCCAAAAAAAAAUCCUCUAAAUUUCAUCAAAGAAAUGGCGGAUUUUUCGAAAGAAUGACCACUUCCAGCAUUAGUAAAAGAGCUUAUUAAGCUAAUUUGCGAGGAGCAAUUACAACCAUCCCCUGAUUUGAAGGCAAGAAGAGUGCUUGCAUCACUAAGUGAAAAUGAAUCGCUUAAAUUGCUUAAUCAAAUUCGCAAUACCAAAAUUACCAAAUCUUUUGAUGGUAUAUUAUUUAUUUGGCUAAUAUUCAUAAUCAGACAUCAAACCCUUCUUCUGCAAUGCAACCUAAUUUUGCUUCUCCGCAACUCACUUCAAUUUCCCCUUCUUAUAUCUUUCAAGGUUCCUUAAUUUUUCAAGAUUUUUGUUGUUCUUUGGAAUAUAUAUAUAUAUAUGGUAUAACUAAUUUUUGUUUGAGGUUUUUUUUUUUACUUUUUUUGUUUGUUUUUUUGUUUUGUUUUUCCUACAUAGAAUAAAUCAAAUGCUGAUUCGGGUUCUUCUUCAGGUAACUGAUUUCUUGCUUUCCACAGUAGUAUAUACCCUUUUUGUUUUCAUAAUUAGUUUUCAUUUUAUCACAUCACUUGUUUAAACUUUAAAGUACAACAUAUAAGUCCGGAAGAAUAAGUACAACAGUUUGGAACAAUAAGUGUAAAAGUUUGGAACAAUAUGUGUAAAAGUUUGGAAUAACAAGUAUGUAAGUCUGGAACAAUAAGUACAAAAGUUUGGAACAAUAAGUAUAAAGCUUUGGAUCGAUAGGUUUAAAAUUUUGGAACAACAAGUAUAAAGGUUUAGAACAAUAGGUAUAAAAGUCUAGAACAAUAAUAAUGGCAAAUCCGUAAAUAAUGAGGCGAUUUAACAGUGCACGUAAUAACUCCACGUUCACUCUAAAAUUUGAAAAACUAUAAAAUAAUUCUCAAAGACUCUUUAACUCCACUAAUUAAUCCCACUUCCCCAUUACUGCCAAAAAAAAUAAAAAAAAAAUCUGUUCCUAAUCUCCAUAGAAUUCCUAUUGUAAAAAAAAAAAAAAAAUUCUUCUUCUUAAAAAAAAAACUAUUCGUAUGGAUUCUUCCGGAAAUGCUCCCAGGCCAGCAAAAAAGUCUCUUGUCAACUUCAUGGAAAGGAUUGAAAAAAAGGCAGGACAAAUAACAGUGCCACCACCUUCAAAUGAACAAAUUCACAACGGGACUCCUGAGAGAAGUAUUGUCCCCUUCUAACCUCCAAAAGAGAUGAAAAGAAAGCAGUCUUCUACAAUUGUUGUUGUACAGCAAAAAAAGGCUAAACAUUUGGAGGAAGAAGAUCAAGAUGAAGAAAAAGGAGAUCGUGCAUUGAUUCAGAGAAUCACCCCCCAAAAAGUUUAUAACAAGAGUUAUAAAAGACCUUCCUUAUCAACAUAAGGAAGCUAUCAAAAAUUUGGGGUUUGGUGGAUUACUUCAUUUAAGUUUAGAUGCACACAAGGGUAGUUUUUGUGCUGAAUUGGUCAGUAGAUUUGACCAAAAUAGAUCAUCUUUGGUACUCUCAAAAGGAAAUGAGAUACCAAUACUGUCAGAGGAUGUUCAUUUAGUCUACGGUCUGGCCAUUGGAGGAGUCCCAAUUACAGAACCAAAAUCAAAUGACUCUGACGAAGAAUGUAAACUGUAUCUACAACAAUGGAGGAAUCAGUUUGGGCUUAACACUGGAAGUCGAACUCUCUCUGUACUUGUAAACAAGAUAGAAGAUAAAAAAAAACAAGAUAUGUCUCAUGAGUUUUUAAUGAAUUUCAUUGUAGCUACGAUUAAUUGCUGUGUAAAGUCAACAGCAAACAAAUCUGUUAACUUCAAGUUUUUAUAUAGCUGUAAGGAUACCACCAAAGUGAAAAUACUUGAUUGGUGUGCG